UACGAAGGGGGCUAGCGUUGCUCGGAAUCACUGGGCGUAAAGCGCACGUAGGCCGAUUGUUAAGUCAGGGGUGAAAUCCUGGAGCUCAACUCCAGAACUGCCCUUGAUACUGGCGAUCUUGAGUUCGGGAGAGGUGAGUGGAACUGCGAGUGUAGAGGUGAAAUUCGUAGAUAUUCGCAAGAACACCAGUGGCGAAGGCGGCUCACUGGCCCGAUACUGACGCUGAGGUGCGAAAAGCGUGGGGAGCAAACAGG
rnacentral:rRNA from 1 species